GCCUAGUUAGCUUGGUUGGUAGAGCGUCUGUCUUGUAAGCGCUAAGCCACGGGUUCGAUUCCCGUCAGGGGCG
rnacentral:tRNA from 1 species